rnacentral:lncRNA from 1 species
UUUGAGCAUAUGUAUGUAUAUUGAGCAUAUUGCAUGGUAGGGUAAUUGUAAGCUUCUAUUUGCAUGUUAUGAGUUUAAAUGUAUGUGAAAUAUUUGUAAGAAUGUGAGAAAUUUAUUUACCCUAUAUAUGCAUGAGAAAUGACAAGAACUUAGUAGCUUUAGAGAACAAAAGUGACAUGACAACAUAAUUGUAGAAGGUGGCAUCGAUGAGUCAAGAUAUACUAGAGUGGACACUUAGAAAAGAAGUGUGGAAUCAAUGAUUGAGUAUAAGAACAAAGUAGUGUAUAUGACACUAGAAAAAGGUUAAAGAAUGCAAGUAAAUAGAGGUAGCGAUAUUAUGACAUAACAAGCUUAGAGUUAAGGGUCAUAUGUACACCGGUUCCUUUUAGUCAAGAAAUGGAUUGGACUUGACAUCCUUAUAGUUAAGGAUGGAAUCAUACUCACCUG